rnacentral:tRNA from 1 species
GGACGGUUAGCUCAGCUGGCUAGAGCACCUGCUUGACGUGCAGGGGGUCACAGGUUCGAGUCCUGUACCGUCCACCA